CAAACUGAAGAUGGCGACCGGCGCACGGGUGAGUAACACGAUCCAACCUGCCGAUAACUCCGGAAUAGCCUUUCGAAAGAAAGAUUAAUACCGGAUAGUAUACGAAUAUCGCAUGAUAUUUUUAUUUAAAGAAUUUCGGUUAUCGAUGGGGAUGCGUUCCAUAGUUUGUUGGCGGGGUAACGGCCCACCAAGACUACGAUGGAUAGGGGUUCUGAGAGGAAGGUCCCCCACAUUGGAACUGAGACACGGUCCAA
rnacentral:rRNA from 1 species